GCAAUUAGGGGGAACGGCCACGUGCUAUGCACAUCCUUAUUGGAUGACUAUACGUCACACCGUUCUUUCGAGGGUGAACGGUGGCGGUCCCGCGGAGACCCUUGCACCGUUGUGUGCACAUAUUACGCCGCGCCGCGGCGAUUAGGGGGAACGGUCACGCGUUAUGCGCGUCAUUUUUAUUAUUGGACAUCUAUAAUACUCUUACCCUAUUACAAGUUAUCCUCAUAUUCUUCCCACUGAACUUCACCUUAAAAGGAGGCACAUCGAAGCUGCAAGAACCAAAUCCAUCAUCCAUGACGAAGCCUCUCCCCAUGGCCAUGGCCAACAUCUUCAUCUGUUUCCUUCUGCUAUCAUCCAUGAACGCUUCGCCUCUGGAGUCCGCAAGGAUCGUCCACGAGCACCGCGCCCACAUCGUUGCAGGUGAGGAAACGCCUGAUCGCCAUCUACCCGACGACCUUGGGGAAAUCAAGAGGGCGCAGCCCCGUCAAUUCGCGCCGCCGGCGCCACAAGCGAACGAGCAACGCUACCCCCCGAUCUGGCAUGGUGGAUCCCCAUCUGUCUAACUGUCUGCGCAAACCUGAUGCAAAAAUAAUAACAUGAGAAUUAUGUGCUUCA